rnacentral:rRNA from 1 species
CCCUUAGAUGUUCUGGGCCGCACGCGUGCUACACUGAGUGGAUCAGCGGGUCAGGUUGCGCGAAAGUGUUUCCUAAUCUUGAAAUCCGCUCGUGAUGGGGAUUGACGGUUGCAAUUUUCUGUCAUGAACGAGGAAUACCUUGUAAGCGCGGGUCAUCAUCCCGCGCUGAAUACGUCCCUGCCCUUUGUACACACCGCCCGCCGCUCCUACCGAUUGAGUGGUCCGGUGAGGCUUUGGGAUCUGGAUGGAAAGAGCGUUUCGCUGUUUCUGCCCGGAAAACUCAGUCGAACCUUAUCAUUUAGAGGAAGGAGAAGUCGUAACA